GAUGAACGCUAGCGGCAGGCCUAAUACAUGCAAGUCGAACGCUCAGUAGCAAUACUGGGAGUGGCGCACGGGUGCGUAACGCGUACACAAUCUACCUCUAAGCGGGGGACACCUCCUGGAAACGGGGAUUAAUACCGCAUAAUAUGCCGAAGUCGCAUGACUUUGGUAUUAAAGCAGCAAUGCACUUAGAGAUGAGUGUGCGUCCCAUUAGGUAGUUGGUGAGGUAACGGCUCACCAAGCCUAUGAUGGGUAGCCGGUCUGAGAGGAUGGUCGGCCACACGGGCACUGAGACACGGGCCCGACUCCUACGGGAGGCAGCAGUAAGGAAUAUUGGUCAAUGGUGGAAACACUGAACCAGCCAUGCCGCGUGGAGGAAUAAGGUCCUACGGAUUGUAAACUCCUUUUGACGAGGAAGAAAAUGUUAGAUUUAUCUAAUUUUGACGGUACUCGUAGAAUAAGCACCGGCUAACUCCGUGCCAGCAGCCGCGGUAA
rnacentral:rRNA from 1 species